CACGCCAGUGCGAGAUGCUGACGUGGAAGGAAAUUGCGGGCUCAAGGACGCGAUUUCCUUCCAUAUCAGCAUCUCGCGCUGACAUGG
rfam:Gossypium raimondii Chr11_contig_985, whole genome shotgun sequence.